AGGGGCUUCAGUAAAGAUGGUGAAUGGGGAAUUAAAAGCCAGAGAGAGCUGAGCAGAGAGGAGGAGUAAGUGGUGGGGAGACAGAUGGGGAGCUGGCAGGAACCCCAGGGGGAUCCCCAAGUCCCAUGUUAUUGUGGAAGGUUGUGCCAAGAAGGUCCUUUUGGUUGCUCUCCUCCCCAUCUGGGUCUCUCUGCAUCCCAAGAAGUAACUGUCUGUCUGGACAGGCCCAGAGCUGAUCGCUUGUGAGCCCCUCCCACUGGUUGGCAGAUACUGAGCAAGGCCUGGACUCUAUCCCUUAGUAAGAAACAAGAGGGAGCCCUGGGUUGACUGGGGAAACACUUGUUUCCCUUCCUCGCUUGGCUGUCCACGGGAGGAGUGUCAGGCACUAUUCCCUGCUGAGCCUGGUCCUUUGCGCUGACAUUUGGGGAUCCUGGCCUGGCUCCCAGAUCCUGGCCUGGUUAAAGAUCAGAUGGCUCAAGGGUAGGACCUAACUGGAAGGGCCUGGGUGCUACUUUGAGAUAUGCAGGAGAAGCCUGGAGGAAGCUUCAGGCAACCUGCCCCUCCCUCUGGGAAAUCCCUGAGCAUGAAGCCAGAGGAUGACAGAACCUUCAGCCUGCAAGAGAGCCUGGGAGAAUCCAUAACGUCCACCAGCAGCCUGGACACCCUGUCCUGAGACCCAAGGCAGCUGUGUGGGGAACAGGCCCUACAUGGUGGGAGAACCAAGCCCUACAAGUUGUCCUCUGACAUCUACCAGUGCCAUGGUGCGCCUGUGCACAUGUUAAAUAAUCUCUACAAAAUCAUCAUAGGGACAGCAAGGAAUCCCAAAGCGGUUUGACUUGAACACACGUCAAAGAGUCUUCCAAUAACUUCUGGGCCGUGCUAUUGGACGAUCUCAGAUGCACACACUGGAGCAGGCUGGACCUCGGGAAAGGAAAAUGGUUCACCACCUCAUGCUUCAAGUGCUCAUUGACCUGGGUAGUUAGUGUACUAGGCAGUUAGACCAGAAUAGUUUGGGCAUCUGUCAUACUCUGUUAGUGGCAUGAGGUCAAGGAUGAGGGAAUGGUAUGGAUGUUUCUAGAGAUCCACAAUCACUUACCUCAUUUUGUCUAAGGGGUUGAGUUUUCAGGGUCUAGGAUCUUUUAAGAAAAUUUUGUGGGGCUGGAGAGAUGGCUCAGUGGUUAAGAGCGCUGACUGCUCUUCCAGAGGUCCUGAGUUCAAUCUCCAGCAACCACAUGGUGGCUCACAACCAUCUGUAAUAAGAUCUGAUGCCUUCUUUUGGUAUGUCUGAAGCUACAAUGUACUCCAUAC
ensembl:lncRNA